AUAUAGUGGAAGCCAGAGACCACUAAAAAAACGGGGCGGAACCCGAAAAGCCAUACGAGUAGGGGUUAA
rfam:Halomonas anticariensis FP35 = DSM 16096 genomic scaffold Scaffold3, whole genome shotgun sequence.